rnacentral:rRNA from 1 species
CGCUAGCUACAGGCUUAACACAUGCAAGUCGAGGGGAAACGACAUCGAAAGCUUGCUUUUGAUGGGCGUCGACCGGCGCACGGGUGAGUAACGCGUAUCCAACUGCCCAACCACGUUGGGGGAAUAACCUUGCGAAAGUAAGACUAAUACCCAAUGACGUCUCUAGAAGACAUCUGAAAGAGAUUAAAAGAUUUAUCGGUGAUGGAUGGGGAUGCGUCUGAUUAGUUUGUUGGCGGGGGUAACGGGCCCACCAAGUCGACGAUAGCUAGGGGAUCUGAGAGGACGGUCCCCCACACUGGUACUGAGACACGGACCAGACUCCUACGGGAGGCAGCAGUAAGGAAUAUUGGUCAAUGGACGCAAGUCUGAACCAGCCAUGCCGCGUGCAGGAUGACGGCUCUAUGAGUUGUAAACUGCUUUUGUAUGAGGGUAAUAACGGGUACGUGUACCUGCUUGAAAGUAUCAUACGAAUAAGGAUCGGCUAACUCCGUG